rnacentral:tRNA from 1 species
GCCCGGUUAGCUCAGUUGGUAGAGCACCUGACUUGCAAGCAGGGGUCGUAGGUUCGAGCCCUACACUGGGUA